rnacentral:rRNA from 1 species
AGUCUCCUACGGGACGCAGCAGUGAGGAAUAUUGGUCAAUGGGCUUACGCCUGAACCAGCCAAGUCGCGUGAGGGAAGACUGCCCUAUGGGUUGUAACCCUCUUUUGUCGGGGAGCAAAAGACGCCACGCGUGGCGUUCCGAGAGUACCCGAAGAAAAAGCAUCGGCUAACUCCGUGCCAGCAGCCGCGGUAAUACGGAGGAUGCGAGCGUUAUCCGGAUUUAUUGGGUUUAAAGGGUGCGCAGGCGGAAGAUCAAGUCAGCGGUAAAAUUGAGAGGCUCAACCUCUUCGAGCCGUUGAAACUGG